CCUACGGGAGGCAGCAGUGAGGAAUAUUGGUCAAUGGACGAGAGCCUGAACCAGCCAUGCCGCGUGAAGGAUGACUGCUCUAUGGGUUGUAAACUUCUUUUGUACGGGGGUAAAAUGUUCUACGUGUGGGGUUUUGUAUGUACCAUACGAAUAAGGAUCGGCUAACUCCGUGCCAGCAGCCGCGGUAAUACGGAGGAUCCGAGCGUUAUCCGGAUUGAUUGGGUUUAAAGGGUGCGUAGGUGGUUUGAUAAGUUAGCUGUGAAAUUACGCUGCUCAACAUCGAGGGUGCCGUUGAAACUGGCAGUCUUGAGUACAGAUGAGGUGGGCGGAAUGUGUGGUGUAGCGGUGAAAUGCAUAGAUAUCACAAAGAACACCGAUUGCGAAGGCAGCUCGCUGGACUGCAACUGACACUGAGGCUCGAAAGUGUGGGUAUCGAACAGGAUUAGAUACCCUAGUAGUC
rnacentral:rRNA from 1 species